UACGUAGGAUCCAAGCGUUGUCCGGAUUUACUGGGCGUAAAGGGCGCGUAGGCGGCCUUAUAAGUCCGGGGUGAAAUCUCGCUGCUCAACAGCGAAACUGCCUUUGAUACUGUAGGUCUUGAAUUAGGGAGAGAUUCGUGGAAUUCCGAGUGUAGCAGUGAAAUGUGUAGAUAUUCGGAAGAACACCAGAGGCGAAGGCAGCGAAUUGGCCCUAUAUUGACGCUCAGGCACGAAAGCAUGGGGAUCAAACAGG
rnacentral:rRNA from 1 species